AAAAAGACAAAUCCUGAUUUCCGUAUCCAACGUUUGACUAUCCGUCUUAUUUAAAAAAAUUAUAAAAAAAUUAAAAAAGAUAAGUCACGCAUAAAAUAUUAAUCAUGUUUUAUCAUCUAACAGCAAUGAAAAUACUAAUUAUAAAAAAAAUUUAUAUAAGACGGAUAGUCAAACGUUGGCACGGAAAUCCAGGGUUUGCUUUUUU
rfam:Oryza glumipatula chromosome 4, whole genome shotgun sequence.